rnacentral:tRNA from 1 species
GGGGCCGUGGUGUAGCGGUUCAACACGCCGGCCUGUCACGCCGGAGAUCGCGGGUUCGAAUCCCGUCGGUCCCGCCA